rnacentral:misc_RNA from 1 species
GAUGAAGAACGUAGCGAAAUGCGAUAAGUAGUGUGAAUUGCAGAAUUCAGUGAAUCAUCGAAUCUUUGAACGCACAUUGCGCCCCUUGGUAUUCCGAGGGGCAUGCCUGUUCGAGCGUCAUUUCAACCCUCAAGCACAGCUUGGUCUUGGGCUUCGCCGCUAACCCGGCGGGUCUUAAAAUCAGUGGCGGUGCCGUCGGGCCCUGAGCGCAGUAAUCUCUCUCGCUAUAGGGUCCCGGCGGAUGCUGGCCAGUAACCCCCAAUUUUCUAUGGUUGACCUCGGAGCAGGUAGGGAUACCCGCUGAACUUAAGCAUAUCAAUAAGCGGAGGA